UUAAGCUAAGAAGAGCGUAGGGAGAAUGCCUUGGCAUUAGGAGCCGACGAAGGACGUGAUAAGCUGCGAUAAGCUGCGGGGAUCAGCAAGUAUGAAUUGAUCCGCAGAUUUCCGAAUGGAGCAAUCCGUAUGUGUAUGCACAUACAUCAUAUACUGAAUCAAAUAGGUAUAUGAGGGGAACCGCCUGAACUGAAACAUCUAAGUAGGGCGAGGAAGAGAAAUCAACCGAGAUUCUGUGAGUAGUGGCGAGCGAAAGCGGAAGAGGCUAAACCAUAGGUAGCAAUACUUAUGGGGUUUCGGACAGCAUUUAGUAUUGAUAAUUUCUAGUUGAAACGUGUGGGAAAACGUACCGAAGAGUGUGAGAGUCACGUAAGCGAAAGAGAGAGUCAGCGAGCUGUAUCCAAAGUACCGCGGGACACGUGAAACCCCGUGGGAAGAUGGGGGGACCAUCCUCCAAGCCUAAAUACUACCUAAUGACCGAUAGCGAAUAGUACUGUGAAGGAACGGUGAAAAGAACCCCGGGAGGGGAGUGAAAAAGAACCUGAAACCCUAUGCUUACAAGCACCGAGAGCACGUCAAAGUGUGAUCGGGUACCUUUUGUAGAAUGGUCCGGCGAGUUAUUGUAUGCGGCAAGGUUAAGUGCUUAAGGCACGGAGCCGAAGCGAGAGCAAGUCUGAACAGGGCGAAAAAGUCGUAUGCAAUAGACCCGAAACCGAGUGACCUAUCCAUGUCCAGGCUGAAGUGGAGGUAAAACUCCAUGGAGGGCCGAACACACGUCCGUUGAAAAGGCCGGUGAUGAGGUGUGGAUAGCGGAGAAAUUCCAAUCGAACUCGGAUAUAGCUGGUUCUCUCCGAAAUAGCUUUAGGGCUAGCCUCGUGAAAGAUUACUGGAGGUAAAGCACUGAAUGGGCUAGGGGUCGAAAGAUUACUGAACCCUAUCAAACUAAGAAUGCCAGAUAAUUGAUUCACGGGAGUCAGACAAUGUGAGAUAAGUCUCAUUGUCAAAAGGGAAACAGCCCAGACCCACAGCUAAGGUCCCUAAACAUUGUUAAGUGGAAAAGGAUGUGGGGUUGCAUAAACAACCAGGAUGUUGGCUUAGAAGCAGCCACUCAUUAAAAGAGUGCGUAAUAGCUCACUGGUCGAGUGACCCUGCGCCGAAAAUUCAACGGGGCUAAACAAUGUACCGAAGCUUGGGAUUCUAGAUUUAUCUAGAGUGGUAGGAGAGCGUCGAAUAAGGGGUGAAGUCAGAGCGGAAGCGCUGGUGGACUUUAUUCGAGUGAGAAUGCCGGAAUGAGUAGCGAGAAUUAUGUGAGAAUCAUAAUGGCCGAAAAUCUAAGGUUUCCUGAGGAAGGUUCGUCCGCUCAGGGUAAGCCGGGGGCUAAGGCGAGGCGGAGACGCGUAGCCGAUGCACAUACGGUUGAAAUUCCGUAGCCACCGAAAGAUUUAAGUACAGGGACGCUUUAGAAGUGAUGUUGCCGGGCGAUGGUUGACCCGGUCGUAAGGGAUCGAAAAUGAGUAGAGAAGUCAUCAUGGAAAGAGACAAGAAAAGCUGUAUGGAUAUCUUAGGUGCCCGUACCGCAAACCGACACAGGUAGAUAGGAAGAAGAUUCUAAGGCCAACGGGAGAAGGGUUGUUAAGGAACUCGGCAAGUUGACCCCGUAACUUAGGGAUAAGGGGUGCUCAAGCGAUUGAGCCGCAGAGAAUAGGCCCAGGCGACUGUUUAGCAAAAACACAGGUCUCUGCUAAAUCGAAAGAUGACGUAUAGGGGCUGACACCUGCCCGGUGCCGGAAGGUUAAGAGGAGAUGUGAGAGCAUUGAAUUGAAGCCCCGGUAAACGGCGGCCGUAACUAUAACGGUCCUAAGGUAGCGAAAUUCCUUGUCAGGUAAGUUCUGACCCGC
rnacentral:rRNA from 1 species